rnacentral:rRNA from 1 species
GGCGGCCAUAGCGAAGGGGAAACGCCCGGUCACAUUCCGAACCCGGAAGCUAAGACCUUCUGCGCCGAUGGUACUGCAAGGGCGACCUUGUGGGAGAGUAGGACACCGC